AACAGUACAGUUUCCUUUGCACAUCUUUCGUUAUAUAUAUCCAUCGAAUCGAGUUGAUUUCUUUAAGAGAUCUUAAUUUCUACAAAAAAAUUAAAUUAUAUUAAAUAAUGUUAUAAUCAAAUUGGAUUGUUAUUAAUCAACAAUUAUGUGAAAAGAUUAUUCCCGAUAAUUAGACAUGUGGGCGUUUCUUUGCGCGCUGUCUAUCGGCGAGUCGAUUAUUCAUUGACCGGUUAAAUCGAAGUUAUGACUAUGCGCGCUUGCCAAGGUAUCGCGAUCGUCAAUACUAUAGUAUACUCGCGCGAACGAAAACGCACGUGAUGCGUUCCUCGAACGAAAAUAAUUAACGACGACGUUCGAGAUGAACAAGUUUGCAGAAAUGGAUAAUUAUGAAUAAAUUUUUCGUAUUAAUCGAGAAUACUUUGGUAGAUAAAUAAGAAAGAGGAAUAAAAAUCUCUAAAAGAAUAUAAUCCAUUCGAGGAUUUUUACUUCCUAACCUAAAAAAGACGUGGCAUUGUACGAUCGUCGAAGGAUAUCCGCCUUCGCUAAAUUUGACAUUGGAGGGAACAAUCGAGCCGGAAAUGCAUAAGUUAUUGUAUAACACUUAACUAUAAGGCAACUGAAAUUCUUUGCCGGAUUUAUUGUUAGCCGAAAACUUGUUGUGAAAAUAGAGACGUCAUACAAUUGGUCAUAAAGGUUAUCUAAUUGUAAAAGUAUUGCACGAUAUCCCGAUCGAAAUACCUUUCUCCUAUCUCUCUUUCUCUCUCACUUCCUAUUCGAAUAUCGUGGCUGGAUGUAGGAACACGGAACGUAAAUAAACGGUAGCUGGAUUCGAAACGUUUUUAUCAUGCGUGAAAAAAGUAGAUUUUUUGUUUACCUUGCGAGGUGGAAGGUAUGCUUUGCGGUAAAUGGAAGAAAAUGAAGACGUUUGCGAAUAAACGAUGGUGAAAUAAAGUGUACAUCCUUUUGCCUAAACAGAAUAGAGACAGAGUUGCAGAAAUGAAAAUAAAAAUCCAAAAAGAAAAAAAAAAAUAGAAGAAGGAGCAUCAAUUUGAA